CUUAAUGUUCUUUGAACUUUAACUGAUAGCCUAUUGAUUGCGUAGAUUCACCGGGAACUGCAAUCACCUAGUGUCAGCUGUCCAGUCUUCUACCGGCCGUGAUGUUAUAUCGUGUUAUUAUUCGUGUAUGAUAGGCGUAUCAAAUAUUGUUUCUCGUAUUAUGUAUUUAUUCGUUUUGUUUUGUGCUGUUCUCGUAAGUUUUAAACUCUGACGAAUCCAGAUAGUUAAUCUUCGCUUUUAAUAUUUAUAGACAUCGACACCUGAAGAUGACUUAUAACAAGUCGAAACUAUAGAGGUGUAUUACUUUAUUUUGAACAGUUUUAUGAUGCUACGUUGUUAUUGUUAUAUUCAUUCCGUUGUUUUGUCCUAUAUAACAUAACAAAUAAUAAAUAUUCUAGAUGAAAAACGUCGCAACUAUUAAAGAGCGGAACUAUUUAAUAUUUAGUAUUAAAUAUUGUGAUAAUUUGCUUUCUCUAGAGAAGUAAUGAUAGCACUUUGUUAUUAAUUUCCCUUAAAGGUUCACAUUGUGAUAUGGGUUGAAUGAUCAUUCUUGAUGAUUUCCAUAGUGAAAUGUACGUCCAAAUUUUGUUUAUGGUAAACUAGUCAGCAACGUUACUGAAAGUUAGUAAAAUUAAUUUUACUUAUACCUUCGUUUCUGUUUUACAUUAUUCUGCCUUCUGUCCUAUAUAAAUUUGUAAGAUAUUGAUGUUUACAUAUUUAUAGUUAAAAAGUAAUAAAAUACUCGUUUAAAGAUCUAUAAAUAAUAAUUCAUAUUGCAUUGCUAUUCUUACCGUUGCAUGGGACAGACUAAAAAUCUGUUUUGCAUUUGGUGCAUAUUUUACAAUUCAGGGGUGUUAUAAAUGUAUUUCAUUGCAUUAUUUUAAGACUAGUGGUACGUAUAUGGGAUUGAACUACAAUAGUACACAUUAUCGUAGAUGUUGGUUGAAUUUCCCACCUACAGCAUAACGCUUACAGUUCGAUUAAAUGUAUAAUUUAUACGUAAUAAAUUCCAUAUAUAUUUGGUAAAACACGACAACUUUUUCUUUAUCUCGAUGAUAUACGCGUGAAUAUCAGUAAGCUAUUUUUAUUUCAAUAUAAAAUUUGCUGUUUGAGAUAUCUAACUAAAUGAACAAUAGAUAUUAUAAAUUCAAAUGGCAAAAAGAUUAGCCUCAAUCUUAAUAUUGAACAUUUAGAGAAUAUUACUUUGUUUAAUGCAAUAGAACAUUUUGAGACAUUAUUUUCUAAUAAACUUCAAUAUAACCUUACUAUCUGUGGAGUAUAUUACCGUAUUAAAGCUUUUGUAUUUAGAAACGUAUUAUGUCUAUUAUAUUGUUUAUCUCUAUAUUUGGAUUUCCUGUAACAUUUUCUAUGAUAUAUCUGAUGAGCCGAUCCAUUUAUAACAUUAGUUUAGGCUAGAUUCAACAUUUUGAUGAUAUUUUGAUCUGAAUAAUAUGUUUUGAAACAUAUAGAACAUAUCUUGCUGUAAUAGGUAAAACAUAAAAAAAUUGAUUUCUGUAAUCAACUCCUGAUUUAAAUCUUUACUAAUUUUAAUAAUCAAAAGUAAAAUUUUUAAUUCCAUACAACAUUUGCAACCUCGUCAGUGUAAAUGAAUUUUUAAUGCGAUUUUAGGCUGGUAUUGUUUAAGUCAAAAUAAAUCUAAUUGUAUAUUUCAAUUAAAUUUUUUUAUGUCUUUAUAUAAGAAUUUCAACCUGGAAAUACAUUUGUAAACUCGCUUAUAGAAAACUUACUGUAUAUCACUAGAAGCAGAAGUUGGACAUUCCGUGCACACGUCUUAAGUUAUUUUAGACUGUAGUAAAGAGUGUCAAUGGUUUAAAUUACAUACCAUUAAGAGAAUUCGACAAAAAGACAAUAAUAAAAGUACAAUUUUUAGACAAAGCGGUUUUAUAUAGGAAAUUUACGGCUAAACGAAUAAGACCAUUGUUUAUAUGCAUUGAACGUUAGUAUAAUAUUAUUUACUGUAGUCAUCAUUAUUGUACCAUCCCGUAAGGUAAGUUCCAUUAUUUUAAUGAUAUAGCCUACCAUAUAAUAUUUCUUAACCGAGUAUUAAACUCUUCCUUUGUUGCAGGGCUUGAUCAAGUUCGAUGCUGAGCUGCGACUUAAUCCUCUUAGCCCUCGAUAAUCUUAUUAAUGUAGAUAAUGCAUCCCCGACUUGGCUGCUUUGUGUUGAAUAAAUAGAAUCGCAGAACAAUCCAUGAUGUACAAGAAAAUGGCAAAUCAAUAAGAAAAGCUUCAACAAGAAACAUUUUUGCUCCGGAUGAUCUAUUAUAUUUAAUUAAAUGCCUAUUAACAAUU
rnacentral:lncRNA from 1 species